rnacentral:rRNA from 1 species
AUUGAACGCUGGCGGCAUGCUUUACACAUGCAAGUCGAACGGUAACAGGCCGCAAGGUGCUGACGAGUGGCGCACGGGUGGGUAAUGCAUCGGAACGUGCCCAGUCGUGGGGGAUAACUACUCGAAAGAGUAGCUAAUACCGCAUACGAUCUAUGGAUGAAAGCGGGGGACCGUAAGGCCUCGCGCGAUUGGAGCGGCCGAUGUCAGAUUAGGUAGUUGGUGGGGUAAAGGCUCACCAAGCCAACGAUCUGUAGCUGGUCUGAGAGGACGACCAGCCACACUGGGACUGAGACACGGCCCAGACUCCUACGGGAGGCAGCAGUGGGGAAUUUUGGACAAUGGGCGCAAGCCUGAUCCAGCAAUGCCGCGUGCAGGAAGAAGGCCUUCGGGUUGUAAACUGCUUUUGUACGGAACGAAACGGCUCUGGUUAAUACCCGGGGCUAAUGACGGUACCGUAAGAAUAAGCACCGGCUAACUACGUG